CACGUAGGGACCGAGCGUUGUCCGGAUUUAUUGGGCGUAAAGAGCUCGUAGGCGGUUCAGCAAGUCGGGUGUGAAAACUCUGGGCUCAACCCAGAGACGCCACCCGAUACUGCUGUGACUAGAGUCCGGUAGGGGAGUGGGGAAUUCCUGGUGUAGCGGUGAAAUGCGCAGAUAUCAGGAAGAACACCUAUGGCGAAGGCAGCUCUCUGGGACGGUACUGACGCUGAGACGCGAAAGCGUGGGGAGCAAACAGG
rnacentral:rRNA from 1 species